rnacentral:rRNA from 1 species
UACGUAGGGUGCGAGCGUUGCCCGGAUUUAUUGGGCGUAAAGGGCGCGUAGGCGGCUCGGCACGUCCGUUGUGAAAUCGCCCGGCUCAACUGGGCGGGGUCGGCGGAUACGGCCGAGCUGGAGCAAGCUAGGGGGUAAUGGAAUUCCCGGUGUAGUGGUGGAAUGCGUAGAUAUCGGGAGGAACCCCAGUGGCGAAGGCGGUUACCUGGAGCUUUGCUGACGCUGAUGCGCGAAAGCGUGGGAGCGAUCCGG